CUCCGCAGCCCCCAAGUUCUGGGAUCACAGGUGACCUGGGAGAACGAAGGAAGCUCAGGCCUCAAGUCCCGGCUGACAAUGUAUUAACUGGGUCACCUUGGCGUUCUGAAUAUGCACGCACCGUUUUCAGCGAGCUUCCUCCCGCCAUUAUGCUGCCACGCCUUUCCAGCUGGUCGCCAUUCUUUCUCUUUGUGACAGACUCCAUCCCUCUGGGACUGUAAGCCAAAAUAAGUCCUUUGUCCCCUAAGUGGUUUUUAUCAGGAUAUUUUAUCACAACAAUUGGAAAUGAAGCUUGAUCACCUUCCAUAACACAUGACAGGUUCUAGCUGGGUUUAUCAGUCAGGAUAAUGUGGGGAGCGAAUGGAGUCCUGAGUGAACAUGUUUUCUUGACGUGAGCAUGGCGAUGUCAAGGACCCCAGUGCCUCAGACCCAUGGGAAGAGCUGUUGUGUUUUAUAAAAAGGUAAGAGAGGG